rnacentral:rRNA from 1 species
AUUGAACGCUGGCGGCAUGCCUAACACAUGCAAGUCGAACGGGGGUAGCGAUACCCUAGUGGCGGACGGGUGAGGAACGCGUAGGAAUUGGCCCACGAGUGGGGGACAACCUGGGGAAACCCAGGCUAAUACCGCAUACGCUCGCGAGAGGAAAGCGGGGGAUCUACGGACCUCGCGCUGGUGGACAAGCCUACGUCCGAUUAGCUAGUUGGCAGGGUAAAAGCCUACCAAGGCGACGAUCGGUAGCUGGUCUGAGAGGAUGAUCAGCCACACUGGGACUGAGACACGGCCCAGACUCCUACGGGAGGCAGCAGUGGGGAAUAUUGGACAAUGGGCGCAAGCCUGAUCCAGCAAUGCCGCGUGGGUGAAGACGGCCUGCGGGUUGUAAAGCCCUUUAAGCGGGGAGGAACGCCGGAACGCGAAUACCGUUUCGGACUGACGUUACCCGCAGAAUAAGCACCGGCUAACUCCGUG